CUUCUAUUAUUUGCAGUCAGUAACAAAGAUUCACCCUUGUGUCAAUAAACAGCAAGGGGAAUCUUUGUCACUUAGUGUAAUUAAUAGCUGGAU
rnacentral:pre_miRNA from 12 species